rnacentral:rRNA from 1 species
GGACCCGCACAAGUAGUGGAGCAUGUGGUUUAAUUCGAAGAUACGCGCAGAACCUUACCAACACUUGACAUGUUCGUCGCGACUCUAAGAGAUUAGAGUUUUCGGUUCGGCCGGACGAAACACAGGUGCUGCAUGGCUGUCGUCAGCUCGUGUCGUGAGAUGUUGGGUUAAGUCCCGCAACGAGCGCAACCCUCACUUUUAGUUGCCAUCAUUAAGUUGGGCACUCUGAAAGAACUGCCAGUGAUAAGCUGGAGGAAGGUGUGGAUGACGUCAAGUCCUCAUGGCCCUUACGGGUUGGGCUACACACGUGCUACAAUGGUGUGACAAUGGGUUAAUCCCAAAAGCCAUCUCAGUUCG